AACGAACGCUGGCGGCAGGCCUAACACAUGCAAGUCGAGCGAGAUCUUCGGGUCUAGCGGCGGACGGGUGAGUAACGCGUGGGAAUAUGCCUCUUGGUACGGAAUAGCCUCGGGAAACUGGGAGUAAUACCGUAUGUGCCCUUUGGGGGAAAGAUUUAUCGCCAAGAGAUUAGCCCGCGUUGGAUUAGGUAGUUGGUGGGGUAAUGGCCUACCAAGCCGACGAUCCAUAGCUGGUUUGAGAGGAUGAUCAGCCACACUGGGACUGAGACACGGCCCAGACUCCUACGGGAGGCAGCAGUGGGGAAUCUUAGACAAUGAGGGCAACCCUGAUCUAGCCAUGCCGCGUGAGUGAUGAAGGCCUUAGGGUUGUAAAGCUCUUUCAGCUGGGAAGAUAAUGACGGUACCAGCAGAAGAAGCCCCGGCUAACUCCGUGCCAGCAGCCGCGGUAAUACGGAGGGGGCUAGCGUUGUUCGGAAUUACUGGGCGUAAAGCGCACGUAGGCGGACCAGAAAGUUGGGGGUGAAAUCCCGGGGCUCAACCCCGGAACUGCCUUCAAAACUAUUGGUCUGGAGUUCGAGAGAGGUGAGUGGAAUUCCGAGUGUAGAGGUGAAAUUCGUAGAUAUUCGGAGGAACACCAGUGGCGAAGGCGGCUCACUGGCUCGAUACUGACGCUGAGGUGCGAAAGCGUGGGGAGCAAACAGG
rnacentral:rRNA from 1 species